UACGAGGGGGGCAAGCGUUGUUCGGAAUUAUUGGGCGUAAAGAGCGUGUAGGCGGCCAUUCAGGUCAGCUGUGAAAACUCGAGGCUCAACCUCGAGACGUCGGUUGAAACCGUUUGGCUAGAGUCCGGAAGAGGAGAGUGGAAUUCCCGGUGUAGCGGUGAAAUGCGCAGAUAUCGGGAAGAACACCCGUGGCGAAGGCGGCUCUCUGGGACGGUACUGACGCUGAGACGCGAAAGCGUGGGGAGCGAACAGG
rnacentral:rRNA from 1 species